rnacentral:rRNA from 1 species
UACGGGGGGGGGCAAGCGUUGUUCGGAAUUACUGGGCGUAAAGGGCUCGUAGGUGGCCAACUAAGUCAGACGUGAAAUCCCCAGGCUUAACCUGGGAACUGCGUCUGAUACUGGAUGGCUUGAAUCCGGGAGAGGGAUGCAGAAUUCCAGGUGUAGCGGUGAAAUGCGUAGAUAUAGGAAGGAACACCAGUGGCGAAGGCGACCACCUGGACUGAUACUGACACUGAGGUGCGAAGCGUGGGAGCAAACAGG